rnacentral:rRNA from 1 species
CGGGAUAAGCUUGGGAAACUGGGUCUAAUACCGGAUAGGAGCCAUCUUUAGUGUGGUGGUUGGAAAGUUUUUUCGGUGUAGGAUGAGCUCGCGGCCUAUCAGCUUGUUGGUGGGGUAAUGGCCUACCAAGGCGGCGACGGGUAGCCGGCCUGAGAGGGUGUACGGCCACAUUGGGACUGAGAUACGGCCCAG